rnacentral:rRNA from 1 species
AGCGAACGCUGGCGGCAGGCUUAACACAUGCAAGUCGAACGGGCAUCUUCGGAUGUCAGUGGCAGACGGGUGAGUAACACGUGGGAACGUACCCUUCGGUUCGGAAUAACUCAGGGAAACUUGAGCUAAUACCGGAUACGCCCUUUUGGGGAAAGGUUUACUGCCGAAGGAUCGGCCCGCGUCUGAUUAGCUUGUUGGUGGGGUAACGGCCUGCCAAGGCGACGAUCAGUAGCUGGUCUGAGAGGAUGAUCAGCCACACUGGGACUGAGACACGGCCCAGACUCCUACGGGAGGCAGCAGUGGGGAAUAUUGGACAAUGGGCGCAAGCCUGAUCCAGCCAUGCCGCGUGAGUGAUGAAGGCCUUAGGGUUGUAAAGCUCUUUUGUCCGGGACGAUAAUGACGGUACCGGAAGAAUAAGCCCCGGCUAACUUCGUG